rnacentral:rRNA from 1 species
AGUGAACGCUGGCGGUAGGCCUAACACAUGCAAGUCGAACGGCAGCGCAGUAAGAGCUUGCUCUUACGGGUGGCGAGUGGCGGACGGGUGAGGAAUACAUCGGAAUCUACUUUUUCGUGGGGGAUAACGUAGGGAAACUUACGCUAAUACCGCAUACGACCUACGGGUGAAAGCAGGGGAUCUUCGGACCUUGCGCGAUUGAAUGAGCCGAUGUCGGAUUAGCUAGUUGGCGGGGUAAAGGCCCACCAAGGCGACGAUCCGUAGCUGGUCUGAGAGGAUGAACAGCCACACUGGAACUGAGACACGGUCCAGACUCCUACGGGAGGCCGCAGUGGGGAAUAUUGGACAAUGGGCGCAAGCCUGAUCCAGCCAUACCGCGUGGGUGAAGAAGGCCUUCGGGUUGUAAAGCCCUUUUGUUGGGAAAGAAAAGCAGCAGGUUAAUACCCCGCUGUUCUGACGGUACCCAAAGAAUAAGCACCGGCUAACUUCGUG